GCAAAUUUUGACCCGACCCAUCAACCCGACCCGACCCGACCCGUUUAUAAUGGGUAUGGGUUGAGUUAUAUGGGUUGGGUCAUAAAUGGGUCAACCCGAAUUUACCCAUUUAUUAGAUGGGUAAAUUCGGGUUGAGCCACUGACCCGUAUAAUGAAAGUACCGACCCGAAUAACAACCUGCUUAAACCCGUGCGACAGAAAUAAGCUCCAGAUCCCAUCACGAAGAAAAGCCCUAGAUCCCACCACGAAGCUCAAGCGGCGAGCGGCGCCGGCCCUAGAUCCCAUCAGGAAGCUCGAUCGGCGAGCGGCGGCGAUCGGCUAACGGCGGCAAACGGCGAGCAGCGGCGAUCGGAGUGAGGUGUCGACGACGAGUGACGGUGAACAAGCGGAGGCAAGCGGCGUUGUUUCUUCCCCAUUUUGGUCUUCGUUCUAAUUUAGACCCUUGUUUCCCAAUAAUUCACAGCGCGAUCCUCUCUGUAAUUUUGUUAUCAUGUCUGCUUCGAGAAUAUGGCCCCUAAUAAAAGUUGGAUGCACAAUAUUGAUAAUCGUGCUACUUGUGAAGAUUAUGCUAUUGGAUAAUAAAAUUGGUACUCUUGAGAUAGUUGAGUCACUCUUGAGAUAGUACAUUUCAAAGCAUUCUUAUGAAGAGUUCAGAAUUAGUCACUCCAUUUAGGUGCUUACCAGUGCCAAAUAUGCUUGUGAGCUGCGCUUUUAUUAACAAAUCCACCCUCUCGUUGCAGGACUUGCCACCGGAGCGAGCUUUUGCUGAUUUUGUCCUCUGCAAUCUGAUUCUCCACCUUGUGAUCAUGAACUUAUUCGAAUAGAACUGUAUUAAUAUAAGUUGGAAACUGCAGCAAUAUGUAUUAGGUCUUAUCAGUUUUUGGACAUGUCCAUUUAUGGUACUCACAUAAUUGUUUACCUGGUUGAA